rnacentral:rRNA from 1 species
UACAGAGACUGCAAGCGUUAUUCGGAUUUACUGGGCGUAAAGCGUGCGCAGGCGGUUCGCCAAGUCAGGUGUGAAAUCCCCGGGCUUAACCUGGGAAUUGCGCUUGAAACUAGCGGGCUUGAGUGUGGCAGAGGGGGGUGGAAUUCCACGUGUAGCAGUGAAAUGCGUAGAGAUGUGGAGGAACACCGAUGGCGAAGGCAGCCCCCUGGGCCAGCACUGACGCUCAUGCACGAAAGCGUGGGGAGCAAACAGG